GACGAACGCUGGCGGCGUGCCUAAUACAUGCAAGUCGAACGCUUCUUUCCUCCCGAGUGCUUGCACUCAAUUGGAAAGAGGAGUGGCGGACGGGUGAGUAACACGUGGGUAACCUACCCAUCAGAGGGGGAUAACACUUGGAAACAGGUGCUAAUACCGCAUAACAGUUUAUGCCGCAUUGCAUAAGAGUGAAAGGCGCUUUCGUGUGUCGCUGAUGGAUGGACCCGCGGUGCAUUAGCUAGUUGGUGAGGUAACGGCUCACCAAGGCCACGAUGCAUAGCCGACCUGAGAGGGUGAUCGGCCACACUGGGACUGAGACACGGCCCAGACUCCUACGGGAGGCAGCAGUAGGGAAUCUUCGGCAAUGGACGAAAGUCUGACCGAGCAACGCCGCGUGAGUGAAGAAGGUUUUCGGAUCGUAAAACUCUGUUGUUAGAGAAGAACAAGGACGUUAGUAACUGAACGUCCCCUGACGGUAUCUAACCAGAAAGCCACGGCUAACUACGUG
rnacentral:rRNA from 1 species